AUUGAACGCUGGCGGCAGGCCUAACACAUGCAAGUCGAACGAGUGGCGGACGGGUGAGUAAUGUCUGGGAAACUGCCUGAUGGAGGGGGUUAACUACUGGAAACGGUAGCUAAUACCGCAUACCAUCAGAUGUGCCCCGGUGGGAUUUGCUGGUUGGUGGGGUAACGGCUUACCAAGGCGACGAUCUCUAGCUGGUCUGAGAGGAUGACAAGCCACACUGGAACUGAGACACGGUCCAGACUCCUACGGGAGGCAGCAGUGGGGAAUAUUGCACAAUGGGCGCAAGCCUGAUACAGCCAUGCCGCGUGUAUGAAGAAGGCCUUCGGGUUGUAAAGUACUUUCAGCGGGGAGGCGUUACCCGCAGAAGAAGCACCGGAUAACUCCGUGCCAGCAGCCGCGGUAAUAC
rnacentral:rRNA from 1 species